rnacentral:rRNA from 1 species
AGUAGGGAAUCUUCCGCAAUGGGCGAAAGCCUGACGGAGCAAUGCCGCGUGAGUGAUGAAGGUUUUCGGAUCGUAAAGCUCUGUUGCCAGGGAAGAACGCUUGGGAGAGUACCUGCUCUCAAGGUGACGGUACCUGAGAAGAAAGCCCCGGCUAACUACGUGCCAGCAGCCGCGGUAAUACGUAGGGGGCAAGCGUUGUCCGGAAUUAUUGGGCGUAAAGCGCGCGCAGGCGGUCAUUUAAGUCUGGUGUUUAAUCCCGGGGCUCAACCCCGGAUCGCACUGGAAACUGGGUGACUUGAGUGCAGAAGAGGAGAGUGGAAUUCCACGU